AUUGAACGCUGGCGGCAGGCCUAACACAUGCAAGUCGAGCGGAUGAAGGGAGCUUGCUCCUGGAUUCAGCGGCGGACGGGUGAGUAAUGCCUAGGAAUCUGCCUGGUAGGGGGGGAUAACGUCCGGAAACGGGUGCUAAUACCGCUUACGUCCUGAGGGAGAAAGUGGGGGAUCUUCGGACUUCUCGCUAUCAGAUGAGCCUAGGUGGGAUUAGCUAGUUGGUGGGGUAAAGGCCUACCAAGCCGAGGAUCCGUAACUGGUCUGAGAGGAUGAUCAGUCACACUGGAACUGAGACACGGUCCAGACUCCUACGGGAGGCAGCAGUGGGGAAUAUUGGACAAGGGGCGAAAGCCUGAUCCAGCCAUGCCGCGUGUGUGAAGAAGGUCUUCGGAUUGUAAAGCACUUUAAGUUGGGAGGAGGGGCAGUAAGUUAAUACCUUGCUGUUUUGACGUUACCAACAGAAUAAGCACCGGCUAACUUCGU
rnacentral:rRNA from 1 species